rnacentral:tRNA from 1 species
GGAGGAGUGGCUGAGUGGUCGAAGGCACCACACUCGAAAUGUGGCGUGGGGGAAACCUCACCGUGAGUUCGAAUCUCACCUCCUCCGCCA